CCUACGGGAGGCAGCAGUGAGGAAUAUUGGUCAAUGGGCGGGAGCCUGAACCAGCCAAGUCGCGUGAGGGAGGACGGUACAAUGGAUUGUAAACCUCUGUUGUCGGGGAACAAAGGCGGCCACGGGUGGGCGGAUGAGUGUACCCGAAGAAAAAGCAUCGGCUAACUCCGUGCCAGCAGCCGCGGUAAUACGGAGGAGGCGAGCGUUAUCCGGAUUUAUUGGGUGUAAAGGGUGCGUAGGCGGCCAGUCAAGUCAGCGGUCAAACUGCGGGGCGCAACGCCGUACAGCCGUUGAAACUGGCAGUCUUGAGUGGGCGAGAAGUAUGCGGAAUGCGUGGUGUCGCGGUUAACUGCAUAGAUAUCACGCAGAACUCCGAUUGCGAAGGCAGCAUACCGGCGCCCGACUGACGCUGAUGCACGAACGCGUGGGUAUCGAACAGGAUUAGAUACCCCUGUCGUC
rnacentral:rRNA from 1 species